AGUCAGUAUAAACUCGGGUGGAAAAAUGGAAUCCAAAUCUAUGGAGAGCAUUAUGUCUGAGGGCCUUGAUUGAACUGGUAUCCCACAGAACAUCACUCCAGCUUUUUAUCUGAUGACAUUAUACUAAUUGGAUCUUAUGAUUAGGAAAAA